rnacentral:miRNA from 1 species
CUAACAAAACUAAAGAAUCU